rnacentral:lncRNA from 1 species
CAGCUUUCAAGUUCAGUACAGUUCUAUUGGACAUACGAAAAUUGUAAUCAUCAUGUUUUCAAACUGGCCAGUGCCAAAUAAAAAGACGGAGGAUAACAAAAGGAUAUUUAAAAGUCGUAAGUCGAAGAGAACGCAACACAACCAUGUGAAAAAAAGAAAAAAAAGACAAACACCAUUGUACAAACACUGCAUAAAAAACAAACCUGAACACAAUCAAAACCCAGAGAAUUUAAGUUUAAUCGGUGUUUUUCUUUUUAUUACAAAUUAUGAUUUCUCACUUCCUAAAACAAGAUAUUUGUAUCUACCUGUACACUGUUCUCUUUUAUGAAACAAAGUUGGACUAAUUCUUCCAAUCUGUUUUCAGUGUAGAAUGAGGGACUAUUGUUGAGUGUAUAGAUGUAAAAUGUUUUAGUAAUGUUCUUGCAAAAUGUGCCCGAAUAUAUAUAUCAUGAAAUUACCUGCAACUUAUUCCCGCCGCCCUUUUGGAGAAGGCUGAUAUUAUCCAUUAUGCUGAUUUAUGGUGAAGGAUAUUGUCUAACUUUAUGGUGAAGGAUAUUGCCUAACUUUAUGGUGAAGGAUAUUGCCUAACUUUAUGGUGAAGGAUAUUACCUAACUUUAUGGUGAAGGAUAUUGCCUAAUUGCGUAACUUUA